AGCGAACGCUGGCGGCAGGCCUAACACAUGCAAGUCGAACGAACUCUUCGGAGUUAGUGGCGGACGGGUGAGUAACACGUGGGAACGUGCCUUUUGGUUCGGAAUAACUCAGGGAAACUUGUGCUAAUACCGAAUGUGCCCUUCGGGGGAAAGAUUUAUCGCCAUUAGAGCGGCCCGCGUCUGAUUAGCUAGUUGGUGAGGUAACGGCUCACCAAGGCGACGAUCAGUAGCUGGUCUGAGAGGAUGACCAGCCACACUGGGACUGAGACACGGCCCAGACUCCUACGGGAGGCAGCAGUGGGGAAUCUUGCGCAAUGGGCGAAAGCCUGACGCAGCCAUGCCGCGUGAAAGAUGAAGGUCUUAGGAUUGUAAAAUUCUUUCACCGGGGACGAUAAUGACGGUACCCGGAGAAGAAGCCCCGGCUAACUUCGUG
rnacentral:rRNA from 1 species